rnacentral:rRNA from 1 species
UAGGGAAUAUUGGGCAAUGGGCGAAAGCCUGACCCAGCAACGCCGCGUGAGGGAAGAAGGCCUUUGGGUUGUAAACCUCUGUCCUAUGGGAAGAAAAAGAUGACGGUACCAUAGGAGGAAGCUCCGGCUAACUACGUGCCAGCAGCCGCGGUAAUAGGUAGGGAGCAAGCGUUGUCCGGAAUUACUGGGCGUAAAGGGUGCGUAGGCGGUUAGUCAAGUCAGAGGUGAAAGAGCCGGGCUUAACCCGGGGGAUGCAGCUGAAAC